rnacentral:tmRNA from 1 species
GGGGAUGACAGGUAUAGACAGGUAGGAUCUUUGACAAUGCGCAUGGUAGAGCUGUAUUAACUCUUUAAACUGGUACAAAGCAUAGAUGCUAAAGACACCUUUGCAAAAGCAGUUCGUUCUCCAUUUAUGGCGAACGGAUUCGCUCUCGCUUACGCUUAAAACUUUUUAGUUUUAACCUAAGUGGCGGUCACUCCCCUAAGUCUGUUACGGGAAUUGAUUGAUAUAUCUUCGGACUAGGAUUUGUUUUAGUUUCGAGACAAAUCCAAAAAAAAAGAAAACUGAAAUGCAACUUAUUUUGUUUAUUUAAAGAGUUGUGUUUGAGAAAAUAAAAUAAACUAAACCAUGUAGACCCAUUAUCAAAACUUAUUUGCACCCGGCUUCAAUGCCGGCUUCUCCACAG